rnacentral:rRNA from 1 species
UGGGGAAUAUUGGACAAUGGGCGCAAGCCUGAUCCAGCCAUGCCGCGUGAGUGAUGAAGGCCUUAGGGUUGUAAAGCUCUUUCACCGAUGAAGAUAAUGACGGUAGUCGGAGAAGAAGCCCCGGCUAACUUCGUGCCAGCAGCCGCGGUAAUACGAAGGGGGCUAGCGUUGUUCGGAAUUACUGGGCGUAAAGCGCACGUAGGCGGAUAUUUAAGUCAGGGGUGAAAUCCCAGAGCUCAACUCUGGAACUGCCUUUGAUACUGGGUAUCUUGAGUAUGGAAGAGGUAAGUGGAAUUGCGAGUGUAGAGGUGAAAUUCGUAGAUAUUCGCAGGAACACCAGUGGCGAAGGCGGCUUUACUGGUCCAUUUUACUGACGCUGAGGUGCGAAAGCGUGGGGAGCAAAACA